CCAGGAUCCACCCCUUCCAAGACCUUAUUUAAGGAUUGGAAGUGAAGGUGAGGGUAUUUUUUUGGAGAUCCCUGCCUACCUGAGACUUUGUAAAGGCAGAGUUGCAUUGGGCUGACUAAGGCACGUCUCCGUCCUUGCAGAGUUCAAGAACUGUUAAGACAAUGAUCAACACAACAUAACUUCCAGGAUCCCUUUUGUGUUGCACAUAUAUCUCUUGAAUGCUGAACGAAGGGUAAAAUAACUCUUUUUUCCUUCAGAAAGAGGAAUGCAGGAGGGAGAUGCACAGAACAACACAUGAGGUUGUGUUGCUGAGCCCAGUCUGGGCUGCAGUGAGGAAGAGGCACGAGCCUGCUCCCCACUGCAUGCCUGGGGAUGCAGACACAGUUGGCCAUUAGCACCCCGAAAGAGAAAAUCUAGACAGAAAGGUGCAUAGGAGAUUUGAUGAGUGAGCAAAGUGCCAGUGGAAGAUGGGAUAAUUGUGGUGCACUUUGUGGGCCCGACCUCCAGAGAAGGCAGGCUGGCAUGUGGGAGCAGCUGUGCCUCCCAGUGUCACACAGAGUCCAGAAAGUGGUUUGACCUGAUUUUUGGAAGGAGCAGGAAGAAGCUGCUUGACAACCCCUACAAAAUAUUUAGCUGAACACAACAAACAAGCCUGAGGACAGGCAAACAAACAGUGAAUUAAUUUAUGGGAUUUUAAUGAUGGAAGAAAGGCCCAUUAAAUCCAGGAAAUAGCACAUAUGGAAGCAGCUCAAGACCGUGGAAACCAAGCAAGAAAUAGCUGUGUGGGGAAGGCACGCAAACAGCUGGGCAGGGUGCUGUCAGAAUGCCUGCUGUGCUCGGCAGCCUGGCAGAGCUUGAUGCUGUGUUUUGACUCUUGCUCCAAGUUCAGCCUGGAGGAAGUGUGCAAUGGAGAAAUAGAGGCAGUGUGCAACUAGCUGGUACUUCUCAUGCACUUCCAGGCUUGACAUCAGAACCCAGGGAGACCACCUGGUUCCUGCAGCACAGGAGCGUACUUCUGAUCCUACAGGCUUUCAGUGAUUGAUUCUGUAAGACAGAAGUAGGAGGAGAUGUUCCCAGGCAGAGUCCAUGUUUCCAUGAUCUCUAUGUGGCCUUUUUUGUUGGCAACAUCAGCCCAAGGCAUGUUAGAGCAAAGGCAAUUCAUCAGAUAUGCUGCCACCUCCCCUGCUCUCCUGUAUUUACCUGAAGCUUCGGGAAGCCCUCCCUGCUUUCAGGCCGGCCCUGAGCUUUCUCCAUCAAAGCCUGAAUGUAUGUGAUGAGUUGCAGUGAGGAGAGAUGACACAGGAGUGCCUGGAGAGGCCAGCUCUGUUCAUCUCAGCUGAGCCCAUGUGAGGAACCUGCUGAAUGCAGGUGAGGAGCAUGCACAGAGGAACCAGUACAGAAUAAAUGCACACCUGGUGUGCUCAAUAGUGUAAUGCUUCCUGACCUCCCUGUGCAGGCGAGGCCUCAGCUUCUCCACAGAUCCUCAAGAUUGCAGAGACAAAAUGUUCAGCUUUUGCUCUUGAUUUUGAUUCAGCUCUGUGUUUGUCUUUGUGAAAGUGGUGCUCGUCUGCCUGCCUCUGUACCAUAUACCUGCAGGAGCCAGUGAAGGACUAGAAGCAGGUUACUCCUACUGCUGUCACAGCUUUAAGGGGAAAUACAACUUUAAUCAGCUGGACUAUCAAGCUCCUGCAGUCAUUCACUCAAUUUAUGAAGUUGCAGCAAAUCCGGCUUUGAUUUGACUUGUCUGGCUUACCCCUAUUCCUUACUUGCUCUACCUUACAGAUCCCUUUUUUUGCUUUUUAUUUCUGUUUCACUUUUUCAAAAGGUGCUGACUUCCUUGUUCAAAAUGUGCCUAGGCUCGGCAGCCAGGUGUGCAGCAGAGGACCUUGAACACUGGGUGAUGCAGUCGUUAUCUCCCUGCUGCAACCAUUUCUGUUUUUCCUAUCUCCCUCACAGCACACACAUGAGUCAGCCAUCUCUGUCCAGGCCAAACCUCAAAUAAUAUCCUUUUCCAAACUGCAGGACCUUGGAAAGUGAGGUGAUAAAAAGCCCACAAGAAAUUCUUUAUUAGUACUUGGGAAGGACAGCAAUGGAAUUUUGACAGAAAUACUGUUUGAAUAGAAAUGUAACCUUCCAAAAGGGUAUUUUUUACUGUGUCAUUCUGAAAAACUGGAUGUCUCCUUGGAAGAUAAGUGAAGGCUCCAUUAGCACUCACCCUGAGGAGUGGAGAUAUGUUUCUUAUUCUUAUGACAGUGAGUUCUAAGAGGAUGCCCAAAUAAUAAAAAAUAGCUGCAAGGAUAAGACCAUCUUAAAGCACUAGUUCUCAGCAGUCCAAGGUCUGCCGGGAAGGAUAGUGAUGAGUCCUAUGGGAUAUGCAAUGAGCCCAGUCAAAUCUCUCGUUUGAAGGAAAAGCAGGGACCUACAAGGGAUGGAAAAAGUCUGAUCAUCAAAGAAAGCAAUGUCUUAGAGCUCAGGGAUGAAGGGAGGACUGCCAAAAGCCAAACUGAACUUGACCUUGCAAAGGAAAUUAGAAUAAUAGUA